GAGAAGGAGGAAGAAAAUUCUGACUUGUGAGGUGAUGUUCAAGCCUGAAGUCCAGUAAACACCUUGAUAGAGGAAAUGGCCGGGAGCGAAGCAGCUUUCUGACAGGCAUUACGGUCCCAGCGUGGAAAGUGUCCAGGUACCUGACACGCAGACAGGCCCUCUUCUGCUGGGCCAUCCAGAUCCUUAGUGACCCUCCAUGUGGCAAAUGGGACAGGAGAUUUCUUUCCCUGGGAAGAGUCCGUGGAUUCUCCUGGCUGGGGUUUUAGGAAAGAAAGUCGCAUGCCUGUGCCCACCAUCGCCUGACAAAACCCAAGCAUCCCAGGACCAGAGGAGAAGGGCACAUUGGAACCUCCCAGAUACACCUUUUUGCAACUGAGAGUGAUAAGGAACUAAAGGGGUCAGGAGGCUAGUCAUAGGACCCAAGUCCAAAACCACCUAUCAACAGCUACUAUGUUCCAGGAGAUCAUCUUGAGGCUGUGGCUGUAAUGAAAGCUUCAACAAAGAUCUGUCUGGUGGAGGGUCUACACCACCUGAAUUAAUGAACCUCCUCACGGGUCGACACACGGAUCCAUCCACGUCGCCAUGAACAAGACAUCUGCUUCCCGAAUAGAAAAGCCACUGUCCACACCAAUGCAAAGGCAUCCACCGCCUUGAAAGUUGAGGAGAUGUUCUGAAGCCUUCAAGGAAAGGCCUCCAUCAAGGUGAAGGAGAUGAGAUGGGGUACCAGUUGAGACGAGAGUGAAUUUCCACCGCUCGCCCACCUGUGCCCAGGUUUGGACGGGAGGUGGCAUCCUGCAGCGCUCUGGCCCUGGCGAGCCACGUCCUCAGAAGGUGACAUAUCCCCAUUCCCUUGGAUGGUUGUGAACACCAGUGAGAUUGACUCAGUGCGCUUCGCACCGUGCAUGGCACAAGGAAAGCCCACAGACUGGCCAUUAGCUUCAUUAUCAGCCUAGUGUGUCUGCUCCCAAGUAGAGGCUGGCAGACACCCAAGCUGCAUCCGCCCUUGUUGCAGAGCAAAGAAUCCUACGAGUUGCUUAGACUUGUUUUGCGGUCUUGACUGUUUUGCGGCGUCUCCCUGACAGCCGAAGCAGCGAUUUUUCUCAGCAUCUUCUUACCUCACUCUCUUACAUCAAGCUCAGAAAGAAAAGAGUUGACCUUUUCCUAUGACAGAUGGGCAAGCUGAGAUGCAAAGAGACGCAGGACUCAUUAGAGGUGCCUCCGGUGUGCGUGGCCAUGCCAGCUUUGUUUGGACCUCUUAAAACCCACAGCCUCAUCCUGGCAGGCUUUUCCUUGACCACCUGCUCUAAAAGAUCUGGAAGCAGGUUCAGCGAGAGAAGCUCCGGAGGAAGCAGGUCGCACACCUUUCCCAAGUCUUCCGGGGAUAGAAGCCAGGCACCGAUAAUAACCGUGCAAACAAGUUGAUGCUGCUAUUUUUAAAUAAGCUGUUAUUAUUGACUAACAGAGGUUGCCGUGGGUGGGAUGACAAAGCCUGGAAGCCAGAGAGUUGCUGCGAAGACUUCCACGAGAGAGCUCGUUAAUGAGAAGCAGCUAAGUGCAGAGCUAAAUGCUGGCUGCCAUUCUUUCUGCUCCAUCUUCUCUGGGGCAGCGCUGAGCUGCUGGCCGGGUGCAUCAUCCCAGAUUCCCUGACAUUCCCCCGACCUUUUGUCUGUGGCCGUGUAACAUCGUCAGGUAAGGUGAGGAGCCGAAGGCAAGAGGUGUUAAAUGGCAGAGGUGUUUGCCAAUAGCCAGGGAUAUUUUUAUAUCAAAAUCUGGAGCGGUCACUACUGUAGGUGGCUCUGCUCCCACGUACACAGUCCGCACGCCCUGAUACAGGAGCUAGAGCAAUUCCAGUGAUCCUUGGCACACACAUGUGCACACACACAUAAUGCACAUAGAUGCGUGCAGACACUCAGCAAUGAGCUAGGUCUCCUCCAGAAUGUUCUGUGCCUUAGUGCAUUUGAUUGUUUGUUUGUUUGUUUUGUCUUUUUGUCUUUUCUAGGGCUGCACCCUUGGCAUAUGGAGGUUCCCAGGCUAGGGGUUGAAUCGGAGCUGUAGCUGCUGGCCUACACCACAGCCACGGCAACCCCAGAUCCUUAACCCACUGGGCGAGGCCAGGGAUUGAACCCGAAACCUCAUGGUUCCUAGUCGGAUUCGUUAACCACUGAGCCACGAUGGACACUCCCGUUAGUGCAUUUGAAAUGAACUUCAACUGAGGUGAUUUCGGUGCCUGGCACUGGGGCCAUUUUGUGGGCACCUGGAGGCCUAAGCAGGACCAAAUCAGCAUAUAGGACCUUUGCUCUGAAGGCUGGACCAGAGCCGACCAAGAACGGAGGCUUCAUGGGAGGAGUUGCUCCCGGUUCAGAAGGUCUAUACAUGCUGCUCUGGAUCCUGCUGGCUGGUGGAAGAGGGGAUGUGCAGAGGAAGAAAUAUUGAGGCUCAUGGAUUAUUUAGAGUCAAAGCUAGUUGCAAAAUGAUUCCUCGAGUAUGUUUUCCUCUUAAUUUCUUAACCCAACAAAACAUACUGAAUAUAUUUACAAGUGAAUAAAUGUGUACAAAUGAUCUAGAAAGAUCCACGUCAACCUAAGAAUAUGCUUGUUAAUAUUAUACAGUGCUAACAUCAUGCCAGGCACAGUUCUAAGUAUUUUGCAUAUAUUAACAUACCUACUUAACAUAUUAACAUACUCCCAACAAUCCUAGAGGGGACUUACCCUUCUGAUCUUUAGGGGACAAAGGAGGGAAAUUAAAGCACAGAGAGGGGAAGCCACUGGCCCAAGCUCACACAGCAGAAACUGCAGAGUGAGGACUCAGCCCCAGAUCACUGGGCUCCAGAAUCCCUGCAUAUACCCCGCCACCAUCUGCCUCCCGUCCUGAUGCGGUGGCGCCUGGAUGAGAUGAGGUCAAGGCAGGUGUUCAAGGGGAGCUUCGGACUGAUCUCCCCCAUUUUGGCUUUUAACUCCUGGAUCAUAGCAUCUAUUACGUGUGAACUGUGUAAUGAGUUAUGUUCACACAAACUACCUAACCCGCUCUGAGCGCUGUUGUGUGAUGUCCGAGCCCAUAUCUGAGUUGAUGGCUUGGUCAGUUUACCAAAGAAGUGCAAUCCCAGUGGUGGGGAACGAAUAAGAAUUACUGAGCGAGACCUGAUACAUCAGGCUAUCUCCUCUCCACAGACGGGUUACAUGGCACACAAGGCACCAUACAGGGAGGGGGACCUUCCAGAGCCUGUAAUAAGGUGGACCUGUUGACACAACGCAACACGCUCAGGGGUCCUUACCGCCACCUGGACACCAUGAAUAGCCUUAUGCUUUAGAGCAGGACACAUGCAUCCUGCUAAAUUCAUAGUUGUUAUUUUUAUUUUUUAAUAAAAGUAUAGCUGAUUGACCAUGGUCUAUCAAUUUCUGCUGCACAGCAAAGUGACCUCGUCCUAUGCAUUUGUACCCAUUUUUUUCUCAUAGAAUCUUCUGUCGUGUUCCACCACAAGAAAUUGAACAUAGUUUCCUGUGCUGUGCAGGAGGACCCCAUUGCUUAUCCGCUCUACAUGUAAUAGUUUGCAUCUAAAUAUCAUUGAUUUUUUUUUCUAUUUAUUGAUGCACCCAUGGCAUAUGGAAGUUCCCAGGCCAGGAGUUGAAUCCGAGCUGCAGCUGCAACCCGUGCCAUGGUUGCCGCAAUGCUGGAUCCUUUAACCCUCUGAGCCAGGUUGGGGAUUGAACCCACACCUCCACAGCGACCUGAGUCACCACAGUCAGACGCUUCACCCACUGCACCAGAGUGGGAAUCUCUGGUUGGUUUUUAUUAUUUUCCACUUCAAUGUAAUGUUUUCUGACUGUGUUUAUUUUUUACCGGUAAUUUGCAAAUCUGCUUGAUUUUCAGUUGUACCAAAGCUCUGGUACAGAAUGAGGAGAUCGGUACAGAAUGAUGAGGCUGCUGGAAACAGCACAGGAUGCUUCUCCAGCCUCCAGUUGCCUUUCUCCUUGUCCUCGGCCACAUCCCCUGGAGACACUUGUGCCCUAUCCUCUCCUUGCCUGCCCUCUUCCCUCUGCGGGUGGCCUACGAGUCUUCCCUGGUGACCAGUUGCUCCUCCAGGACAGUCUCAGGAUUCCACUCCCCAACCAGGGGCUGACUUUUAGUGGCCUUUAGCUUCGUGUUUUAAAACACAUUCUAUGAAGAGGAUUGAAAACUCACUUAUGCUGGAGAGUUAAUGGCUUUUGUUGGGUGGUUUGCAUUUUAAAAAGGGCAUGACGGAGUCAACAGGUAAAGGUCUAAGAUGGGAUUUCCGGUGCCAUCACACUUGAGGAAUGUGGAGUCCACUUACCUAGUUACCAUCUUGACUUUCGGGGUGGCCAUGAGUCCGGAGGUCUCAACCUGGCGCAGUGAGCUGGCAAGAUAUUUCUGAGCUCUUCAGCUUAUACAUAAAAGGCAUCGUUGGGAGUUGCCAUCAUGGCUCAAUGGAAACGAAUCUGACUAGUAUCCAUGAGGAUGCAGGUUCGAUCCCUGGCCUCGCUCAGUGGGUUAAGGAUCUGGCAUUGCUGUCAGCUGUGGUGUAGGUCGCAGAAAAAAGACAAAAAAGGCCCUAAAAAGACAAAAGAAAAUAAAAAAAAA
rnacentral:lncRNA from 1 species